CUGUGAUGCCCUUAGAUGUUCUGGGCCGCACGCGCGCUACACUGACAGAGCCAACGAGUUCAUCACCUUGUCCGAAAGGUCUGGGUAAUCUUGUGAAACUCU
rnacentral:rRNA from 3 species